rnacentral:rRNA from 1 species
AGUGAACGCUGGCGGUAGGCCUAACACAUGCAAGUCGAACGGCAGCACAGGAGAGCUUGCUCUCUGGGUGGCGAGUGGCGGACGGGUGAGGAAUACAUCGGAAUCUACUUUUUCGUGGGGGAUAACGUAGGGAAACUUACGCUAAUACCGCAUACGACCUACGGGUGAAAGCAGGGGACCUUCGGACCUUGCGCGAUUGAAUGAGCCGAUGUCGGAUUAGCUAGUUGGCGGGGUAAAGGCCCACCAAGGCGACGAUCCGUAGCUGGUCUGAGAGGAGGAGCAGCCACACUGGAACUGAGACACGGUCCAGACUCCUACGGGAGGCAGCAGUGGGGAAUAUUGGACAAUGGGCGCAAGCCUGAUCCAGCCAUACCGCGUGGGUGAAGAAGGCCUUCGGGUUGUAAAGCCCUUUUGUUGGGAAAGAAAUCCAGCUGGUUAAUACCCGGUUGGGAUGACGGUACCCAAAGAAUAAGCACCGGCUAACUUCGUGCCAGCCGCCGCCGUAA